UUGUUGUGGUUUCCUGUACAAUCAUAAGUUUAGGGAAGGACUGUGAAAACAACCUGCCUUAGUGAACAGGUGUGAACUCUAAACUCAUCACCAAUAUCAAAAUAUGUUCAGUACAAAGCUCUCAAGAGAAAAAAACAGAAGUUCCUAGUAUAUAGUAGUAGUAAAUGUCUCAUCCACUUCCUUUGUGAGGCUUUAUACCAGUGGCAGAAAUAUUAGAGACGGAUCACAAUUUUCUUCAUAAGUUCUGAGCAUCUGGAAGAGAUUAUUCCUACAUUAUGCAGCGUUACCUGGUCUGGUGUGCCCUACUGCUGUUCCUUGUGACAGUGGUCACCGGAGAAAAAGAAAUGAUGGCAAACAAAACAUCAACUGAAAUACUUUCAAAGGCUUGGAGUGACGUUCCAGACUCUGCAGCCAUGGUGAUGGCCAUGUUAGCCUUUUCCAUCAUUCACUACAUCCUGAACAAGUAGAAUUCUGCUGCCACGCUUCUCCAUAGCACCUGAUGGCAAAUGCCCAGACCAGCCCAUAGAUGCCAGAGUAUUUAGGUCUUUCUCAUCAAUGUGCACUGGAAACACGAAGACUCCAAUUUUCGCUCUAUCAAUCUGUUUCUCCAUUGUCCCUUGCAGUUAAACUGUGUCUUAACCCUAAAUAAAUUGCAUUCUCCCAUA